GAUCAUUACAGAGUUACCUAACUCCAAACCCAUGUGAACUUACCUAUGUUGCCUCGGCGGGGAAGCCUACCCGGUACCUACCCUGUAGCUACCCGGGAGCGAGCUACCCUGUAGCCCGCUGCAGGCCUACCCGCCGGUGGACACUUAAACUCUUGUUUUUUAGUGAUUAUCUGAGUGUUUAUACUUAAUAAGUUAAAACUUUCAACAACGGAUCUCUUGGUUCUGGCAUCGAUGAAGAACGCAGCGAAAUGCGAUAAGUAAUGUGAAUUGCAGAAUUCAGUGAAUCAUCGAAUCUUUGAACGCACAUUGCGCCCAUUAGUAUUCUAGUGGGCAUGCCUGUUCGAGCGUCAUUUCGACCUUCAAGCCCUAGCUGCUUGGUGUUGGGAGCCUAUCUCCGGAUAGCUCCUCAAAAGCAUUGGCGGAGUCGCGGUGACCCCAAGCGUAGUAAUUCUUCUCGCUUUCGGUGUGUCACGGCUGACGUCUUGCCGUUAAACCCCCAAUUU
rnacentral:rRNA from 1 species